GACGGAGGAUGCAAGUGUUAUCCGGAAUCACUGGGCGUAAAGCGUCUGUAGGUGGUUCGAAAAGUCCACUGUUAAAAAUUGAGGCUUAACUUCAAAGAUGCCGUGGAAACUUUCAAACUAGAGUAUGGUAGGGGUAGAGGGAAUUUCCAGUGGAGCGGUGAAAUGCGUAGAUAUUGGAAAGACCACCGAUGGCGAAGGCACUCUACUGGGCCAUUACUGACACUGAGAGACGAAAGCUAGAGGAGCAAACAGG
rnacentral:rRNA from 1 species